CUAAUUGAUCACAACCAGUUACAGAUU
rnacentral:piRNA from 2 species